AUGAACGCUGGCGGCGUGCCUAAUACAUGCAAGUCGAGCGAACGGACGAGGAGCUUGCUCCUCUGACGUUAGCGGCGGACGGGUGAGUAACACGUGGAUAACCUACCUAUAAGACUGGGAUAACUUCGGGAAACCGGAGCUAAUACCGGAUAAUAUAUUGAACCGCAUGGUUCAAUAGUGAAAGACGGUUUUGCUGUCACUUAUAGAUGGAUCCGCGCCGCAUUAGCUAGUUGGUAAGGUAACGGCUUACCAAGGCGACGAUGCGUAGCCGACCUGAGAGGGUGAUCGGCCACACUGGAACUGAGACACGGUCCAGACUCCUACGGGAGGCAGCAGUAGGGAGUCUUCCGCAAUGGGCGAAAGCCUGACGGAGCAACGCCGCGUGAGUGAUGAAGGUCUUCGGAUCGUAAAACUCUGUUAUUAGGGAAGAACAAAUGUGUAAGUAACUAUGCACGUCUUGACGGUACCUAAUCAGAAAGCCACGGCUAACUACGUG
rnacentral:rRNA from 1 species